AUGCGGAAAAGGGUAACCAGUCCGUCCCCGUCUACUUCGCCCGCAUGCGUUUGCUUGCUGAUGAGCUUGCGGCUGCCGGGAGACCCAUGCAAGACGAUGAACUCAUCUCCUUCAUCCUGGCCGGCCUCGACCUCGACUACAAUCCUCUGGUAUCUGCUCUUGAUGCUCGCCCUGAACCCAUCACUCUCGACGGCUUGUACUCGCAGAUGGCGAAUUUUGAUCAGAGGAUGGAGCUGUUCCAAGGCUCCGGCGGCAACGGUGGCUUCAAGUCCUCCGCUAAUGCUGCUGCUCGCGGGCGCGGCUAUCAGCGUGGAUGUGGGGCGUCACGUGGAAGAAGCGGCGAUAGUGGCACCAAUGGCCAAGGCCGAGGCUACACCAACGGCAACAGCAGUGCCCCUCCCUCCUACACCAACAACAAGGGGGGGGGGGCGAUCUGGUGCGCCAGGAGGACCAGGCGGCCCAGGACCAAACGGUGGUGGCUUCCACAACGACAACCGCCCGCGUUGUCAGAUCUGCAGCAAGCCGGGCCACAUCGCCAUGGAGUGCUGGUACCGCUUCACCGAGGACUACCUUCCAGAAGAGAAGGUGGGCGCAUCUGCAACAACAAGCUCAUACGGGAUAGAUACCAACUGGUAUGCGGACAGUGGUGCUACCAACCACAUCACCGGCGAGCUCGAGAAGCUCACCACCCGCGACAAGUAUCGUGGUGGUGAUCAAGUCUACACUGCUGAAGGUGCAGGAUCGGGCCACGGGGAGGGUGCUGCAUCGAGGCAGGUGUAG
rnacentral:rRNA from 1 species